rnacentral:rRNA from 1 species
CCUACGGGAGGCAGCAGUAGGGAAUUUUGCGCAAUGGGCGAAAGCCUGACGCAGCCAAGUAGCGUGAAGGAUGACUGCCCUACGGGUUGUAAACUUCUUUUAUAAAGGAAUAAAGUGAGGCACGUGUGCCUUUUUGUAUGUACUUUAUGAAUAAGGAUCGGCUAACUCCGUGCCAGCAGCCGCGGUAAUACGGAGGAUCCGAGCGUUAUCCGGAUUUAUUGGGUUUAAAGGGAGCGUAGAUGGGUUGUUAAGUCAGUUGUUAAAGUUUGCGGCUCAACCGUAAAAUUGCAAUUGAUACUGGCAGCCUUGAGUACAGUUGAGGUAGGCGGAAUUCGUGGUGUAGCGGUGAAAUGCUUAGAUAUCACGAAGAACUCCGAUUGCGAAGGCAGCCUACUAAACUGCCACUGACAUUGAUGCUCGAAAGUGUGGGUAUCAAACAGGAUUAGAUACCCCAGUAGUC